AUGGUUGAAUGCUGUAUGAGACGAGAUUAUCUGGCUGCAAUGGACCAUUAUAUCAGGUUGGCUAUCGGGAAUGCUCUCUGGCCUACUGGUGUUAGUAUGGUUGGUAUUCACGAAAGAUCUGUAUGUGAAAAGAUCUACACAAAUGGUGUUGCUCACAUAAUGAAUGAUGAAACAACUCACAAGUAUUUACAAUUAGUAAAGAGAUUAAUGACAUUUGCCAAAAGACUAUGA